ACCUGGUUGAUCCUGCCAGGUAUGAUAUGCUUUUCUCAAAGACUAAGCCAUGCAUGCCUAAGUUCAUACCUUUACACGGUGAAACUGCGAGUGGCUCAGUAAAUCAGUUAUAAUUUAUUUGAUUGUACCGAAGCCUUGUGCUUCCACAUUGGAUAACUGUGGGAAACUAGAGCUAAUACAUGUCACCUGCUACCUCGGGGUAGCGCGCAUUUAUUCGCUCAAAAAACCAACACACUGUUAGUUAGGCCCGGAUCAGUAGGCUAGCAGGCAAGAAAUUGUCUGUUAGUUUACCCCGGGUAGACGGCUGCAGUGUCCAUGGCGAUUCUGAAUAACUGAUGCUGAUCGUAUAGAGCCUUCGAGCUCACGAUAUUUCAAUCAAAUUUCUGCCCUAUCAUACCUGUUGGUAGGGUAGCGGCCUACCAAAGUGAUGACGGGUAACGGGGAAUCAGGGUUCGAUUCCGGAGAGGCAGCCUGAGAAACGGCUACCACAUCCAAGGAUGGCAGCAGGCGCGCAAACUAUCCAAUCCAGAUAAUGGGAGAUGGUGACGAGAUAUAUUGGAACUCACUGGCUUUGCCGGUCGAGUUACCAGAUCGGCUUUAAUCUAAACCAAUAAUGAUUAUUCAACGGGAGGGCAAGUCUGGUGCCAGCAGCCGCGGUAAUACCAGCUCCUGUAGCAUAUAUGCUUGUUGUUGCGGUUAAAAAGCCCGUAGUUGGAUUACGGUACGCUCGAAAGGUGGUUCGGCUAUAUGGCUGCCUGCUGUAAGUUGUGCAGUUUUGGGUGGUAAAUGUCUGCCUCCAGCCCGCUACCAUUAAUGCUGGUAAGGAAAUGGGGGAAACCUCAUCGACUUGCAAGCUUAGUGGACCCAUAGUUGGUUCGGAUGGCGCAUUUGCUGCCGUAUAUAUGGUUGAAACGUCAUUAGAGCGUACUUUCUUGUCCAGCACAUGUGAUAUCCUUAAUUGGCUACACGUGACGCUAGGCAAAUUGUGCCUUGAGUAAAAUAGAGUGCUCCAAGCAGGCAAUGAUUGUGUAAAAACUAUCAUAGCCAGAAUACUCCAGCAUGGAACGAAUGUUCAAUUGCUUAAACACCCCGCAUACCUAGUUAGUUGGUUAUCACUGAUGGUGGGAUAAAACCCAUCAUCAGCACUAGGUUGUGUCCGCAGAGUAGUGUACCAAAUCAGUGCUGAGUAUGAGACUAGGUUCACUAAGUGUGAUGUAAGGAGUAUUCAAUUAAGGGUACCGCCUAGGUUUGUAUUCCCUGGUUAGGAUAAAAUGCACUUUCUGUGUACGGGUAUCGGUUAACAGAGACAUUUGGGGGCAUUGGUAUUUGGCCGCGAGAGGUGAAAUUCUUUGACCGGUCAAAGACUAACAAUUGCGAAAGCAUUUGCCAAAGGUGUUUUCAUUAAUCAAGGACGAUAGUUGGAGGAUCGAAGACGAUUAGAUACCGUCGUAGUUCCAACUGUAAACUAUGCCAACCAGGACUCAGUCCGGAUCAUUUAUAUUAAAAAUAUAUCACGGAUCCAGGUUGGGUCCCCAGGGAAACCUAAAGUUUUUGGGUUCCGGGGGGAGUAUGGUCGCAAGGCUGAAACUUAAAGGAAUUGACGGAAGGGCACCACCAGGAGUGGAGCCUGCGGCCUAAUUUGACUCAACACGGGGAAUCUCACCAGGUCCGGACAUCGGAAGGAUUGACAGACUGAUAGAUCUUUCAUGAUUCGGUGGAUGGUGGUGCAUGGCCGCUCUUAGUUGGUGGAGUGAUUUGUCUGGUUUAUUCCGAUUCAACGGACAUGACUGAGUUCUCUAUUUUGGCCGUAUGAAAGUUUGCAUCUGUGAACCUGACAGGUACACUAAAAGUUCAGCAUUACCGGCCGUAAGGAAUCUGCUAUUAGAUAAAUGGUAAAAGUUGGCACUGGGGCUUGCUCCAACUUUUGCUGUUCGGCUUAUUUGCUGGGAUCUAGGUUCUAGCUAGCAGCAGUAGAGAUGGUGCCUGUGACGGAGCAUCAAAACUCUUGCUGUACUCCCUAGGCGAAAGCAAGUGAACGGAUAGUAAAAGGCUUACUCGAGCUAUUGAUCAGUGGUGGAACCUUGUGGAAGGUAGUGUUGAAUGUAUCUGCAGCCCGGAUAGUGUUCGUGCGCCUUCAUAGAGAGACAACCUGUGGCAAGCAGGGGGAAGCACAGCAAUAGCAGGUCAGUGAUGCCCUUAGAUGUCCUGGGCUGCACGCGCGCUACAAUGGUAACGACAGCGAGUUUCUGUACUGAAAAGUAUGGGUAAUCUUAUUAAUCGUUACCGUGCUGGGGAUUGAGCCUUGAAAUUAUUGCUCAUGAACCUGGAAUUCCUCGUAAGUACGAGUCACCAGCUCGUGCUGAAUACGUCUCUGCCCUUUGUACACACCGCCCGUCGCUACUACCGAUCGAAUGACUUGGUGAGAACAAGGGGUUGUUCGACUCCAUUUUGUGUGUGGACGAGAGCCUGUCGAACUGCGUCACUCAGAG
rnacentral:rRNA from 1 species